rnacentral:tmRNA from 1 species
GGGGGCGACUUGGCUUCGACGGGGCUGCAGUACGCCGAGGUUGCGUGUCGAGGUUGCUUGGAACCUCGUAAAACACCGAGCAAAAACAACUUAGCUGCGAACAAUAACGACAGCUUCGCUCUCGCGGCAUAAGCGAGAGUCGUUCGAUUCAGGUGCACCAGGGUGCCUGCUUCGGGCGUGUUCAAUCCUGGAUAGUCCAGAG